AAUAAUAACAUAACAUUUUUGUUAUUUGUAAAUCAAGCACAGUUAAUUACAAAAAGCUUUAUCUUAUCCUUGAGUUAUUCAUCCUUGAGAAGUAUCUAGAACCAGUUGUACUCCCAGAACAUCAGAUACACAUAGUUCUGAGAACUAACAAGUGUUAAGGCUGGCCGCAGGCUAGCCUGGAUUUGUGGGAGGGGCCAGUACCUGUCUUAAGCAGUCCGGCUCUCCCAGGCAGCACGUCUGCAUUCGGACGUCUGCUACUUCCGGGUGUGACGUCAUCAGCAAGCGUCCUGCACGAGUGGGUCCUCAGAGAAGCCGGGUGUACCUUUCCCUUCAGUCUGCAGCUGUUAAAGAUCGUUGUCCAGGAUAACUGCACCAAACAAAGAUUGGAGAUACCUAUAGAUCACAAUCAGAAUAACAGAAACCGCCUAGUCAUUGAAUUUUCUGUACACCUUCCGUGACACCAGCAUACGCCCACUGCAGGAGAAACAGAUGCUGUCGCAAUGCUGGAGCCCGGACAGUCUGUGAUGAAUCAGAAGACCGGAAGUUCCUGGUACAGUCAUCUGGCAAGAAUAAAAGACAUUUUAUUAUUUAUGAAUAAUAUACCAAAAUAUUCUAUUAAAAAUUGUAUUACAUUUCAGUAUACAAAAAUCCACUGAAAGUACAAGGCAUGGCACAAAAUAAAAGAAUUAGUUGACUAAAACAGUGGUGGCCAAACAGAUCACAAUCUAACAGUAGACCAAAGUCCAUAACUAGAUGAGGUUGGCCCCCCCCCACCUUGAGGAACUUCCUGGAACCUCCACCCAAUCUGUAAUUGACUAUACAUAUAAACAAAACAUUUAUUAGCGCUGGACAAGAGGCCAGAGACCAGAGUAUUUUCUCUGGCCUGUGCGAUCUCCCACUCAACCCAGCAGAUGCAUUGAGAUUAGUGUUGCUGAAGGAGAGUACAGGCCAGGGAAUCAGGCCUGAGCUAUAAUGGAUGACAGACAAAGAAGCUAGACUGGGAGGGAGGAAGGCGAGAAUGGCCAGUAGGGAGCUCCUUAAUAUGUUGUUUUUCUUGAUAUAUAAUUACUAUUGAUAAUAUAAAGAGUUCGUCAUCUGGGUCAGGAUAUCUUUAUUGACCGGCAGGUAGGAAAUAUCUGGUGUCUAGUGAGACUUUUUUGAAUUACCUCUUAAGGCUACAUGCACACGAAUGGCCAUGAAAAGCGAGCAAGCUCAGUUUUUCAUGGCUAUUUUUCAACCAUUUUUGCAUCCCUUUCCUGGCCAUCUAGAUGUUGUGCAUC